rnacentral:rRNA from 1 species
UACGUAGGUGACUAGCGUUGUCCGGAUUUACUGGGCGUAAAGAGCUCGUAGGCGGUUUGUCGCGUCUGCCGUGAAAGUCCGGGGCUCAACUCCGGAUCUGCGGUGGGUACGGGCAGACUAGAGUGAUGUAGGGGAGACUGGAAUUCCUGGUGUAGCGGUGAAAUGCGCAGAUAUCAGGAGGAACACCGAUGGCGAAGGCAGGUCUCUGGGCAUUAACUGACGCUGAGGAGCGAAAGCAUGGGGAGCGAACAGG